GAUCACUUUGGCAAUCUGUACACAUUGCUGUGUAACAAUUUGUAUACGUUGGCACAGUGCUAUCAAAGCUGCAUGCAAGUGUUUUUUGAAAGGAUACAACAUGGGAUGUGAUAUUCAUGUGUGUGUGCCUGCUUUGUCCACAGCCUGUGUUGUAUGAAUCACAUUUCUUGCAACUGAAAUGCUAAUGGCAUGGUAAAGUUCAUGUGACAUGACACAAGCUUGAGAUUCAUGAUGUGCAAGUACCAUGAGGGAAAUGUGAAAAGGACUUUGGAAAGAGAAUUAAAUAAAGCCUGCAUUUGCUGACAAUGAAAGCAAGUGUGGAUGUUCAUGUAAUUGUUACUGCAUCAAUCAAUGUUCAUCUUGGUUACUGCAUGCUUUAUAUUACAGCUCAGAACAUGAAGUGUGUGUAACAGCUCUGCUUUGAUUUUUCCCACAUGGGAUCAGUUGAAACAUUGUGAGAGCACUCUUCAGUUUCCUUAUGUACCCACCAGCUUUGUCCACUCGCGUGUUGGCACA
rnacentral:rRNA from 1 species